UAGACCUUACAGUGAAAUGCUGAAUACAACAGGUGUAGUAGACCUUACAGUGAAAUGCUGAAUACAACAGGUGUAGUAGACCUUACAGUGAAAUGUUGAAUACAACAGGUGUAGUAGACCUUACAGUGAAAUGCUGAAUACAACAGGUGUAGUAGACCUUACAGUGAAAUGCUGAAUACAACAGGUGUAGUAGACCUUACAGUGAAAUGCUGAAUACAACAGGUGUAGUAGACCUUACAGUGAAAUGUUGAAUACAACAGGUGUAGUAGACCUUACAGUGAAAUGCUGAAUACAACAGGUGUAGUAGACCUUACAGUGAAAUGCUGAAUACAACAGGUGUAGUAGACCUUACAGUGAAAUGCUGAAUACAACAGGUGUAGUAGACCUUACAGUGAAAUGUUGAAUACAACAGGUGUAGUAGACCUUACAGUGAAAUGCUGAAUACAACAGGUGUAGUAGACCUUACAGUGAAAUGCUGAAUACAACAGGUGUAGG